rnacentral:rRNA from 1 species
CGGAAGCAAAGGGGUGACCCCUAGCAAAUCUCAAUAAACCGUCUCAGUUCGGAUUGGGCUCUGCAACCCGAGCCCAUGAAGUUGGAAUCGCUAGUAAUCGUGGAUCAGCAUGCCACGGUGAAUACGUUCCCGGGCCAUGUACACACCGCC